UUGUUGCUAGUCUGGAAAGGUACUCUCCCC
rnacentral:piRNA from 1 species